rnacentral:rRNA from 1 species
UUGAACGCUGGCGGAAUGCUUUACACAUGCAAGUCGAGCGGCAGCGCGGGGGCAACCCUGGCGGCGAGCGGCGAACGGGUGAGUAACAUAUCGGAACGUACCCUAUCGUGGGGGAUAACACAUCGAAAGAUGUGCUAAUACCGCAUACGACCUGAGGGUGAGAGCAGGGGAUCGCAAGACCUUGCGCGACAGGAGCGGCCGAUAUCGGAUUAGCUAGUUGGUGAGGUAAAGGCUCACCAAGGCGACGAUCCGUAGCUGGUCUGAGAGGACGACCAGCCACACUGGAACUGAGACACGGUCCAGACUCCUACGGGAGGCAGCAGUGGGGAAUUUUGGACAAUGGGGGCAACCCUGAUCCAGCCAUUCCGCGUGAGUGAAGAAGGCCUUCGGGUUGUAAAACUCUUUCGGCAGGAACGAAACGGUCGUCUCUAAUACGAGUGGUGGAUGACGGUACCGGAAGAAGAAGCACCGGCUAACUACGU